ensembl:lncRNA
GGUUCGUGGAGCUGUAGAAAAUCAAGAGCGGCAUAGGAGGGCUAACUAGGCUCAUAAGAUGCUUCGGUGAUGAUAGCCCUACACAAAGGAAGAGGACAGAGGACCUCAUUUUCUAAAGGAAGAUCCCUCACACACUUUCAAGACUGUGAAGCCGACAGGUAUUGAAGACACGUUUUCUAAGAGGAUGAAAGUUGGCAUUGCGAUGGUGAAAGAAGAAGACAUCAUCGAUGUGUUGGUCGUCCUUGAGGCGGCAGUAAUCCUGUCUAAUCUGAGGGAUGUCUCAAGUGCCAUUUCCAUGCUGAUGGGCCUUCUUUUUGCCCUCAACAUAGACUAUCCAAAGGAACUUAAGGACAUCUUUGAAGUCAUUCAGAACGUCCUAAUGAACAUUGGUGGAAGGCAGUGCAUCUCACUAGUGCAUGGUCUAAGAAACAGACUCUUGCAGAAAGCCAUGCAGAACUGUAAUUGUAUGCUCACAGCAUACAAUUGCCUUAGUGUUAAGGACA